GGUGGCUCAAUGGUAGAGUUUUUGUCUUGCAUGCAUGAGGCCCUGGGUUCAAUUCCUCAGCACCA
rnacentral:tRNA from 1 species